UUUAUUUCUUUUACCGAUUCACUUAUUGAUUCGUUUCCCAAUUUCAUGUGAGAGAAGAACAUAAAUAGCAUAGCUAGCUUGACAAUCCGAGAUCCUAAACACAUCCCCUCAACAUCUCCAUUCCUGCUAUAAAAGUCAAGCUGCUGUAUGUUACUGGACAUAUAAUAAACACGGAGAGAGAGAGAGAGAGAGAUGGUGGUUAGGCUGCAAAGGAGAGCAGCAAUGCACAAUAUGCGUCACUAUCUACGAACCCUCUCCCGCUCCAAAUCUGUGAAAAGGAAGUAUGUCAUCAUGGAUGCUCUACUAUGCAUUUACAAGCUCAAGCUCAAAUUGGAGGCAAUCAAAAGGGAACUCGCAAACUUAAUUGCUGUAAAAAGAGAAUACUUGAGCCUAAUGAAGGAACUCCAGUUCCCUAAGAUGGAAGUGGAGGUGUAG